GCCACGGCCAUACCCACCCUGAACGCGCCCGAUCUCGUCCGAUCUCGGAAGCUAAGCAGGGUCGGGCCUGGUUAGUACUUGGAUGGGAGACCGCCUGGGAAUACCAGGUGCUGUAAGCC
rnacentral:rRNA from 1 species